AAAAAAACAGGCUUCCCAUCAUCACGGGACGCAGGAAAGGUCACGAAGACCAACCCCACAGUUUUGAAUAUAUAUAGAAUAUAUUUUGAAUAUAUAUAUAUAUUCUGUUCAUCAUUCAUUUAUAUAAAACCAACAGAAAGGAUUCCUGAUCAAUCUAAAAUACACAUUCAUUGUUCCUGUAAAGAGGAUAACUGAAACUGGAGAGUUAUAUCAACAUGUAGCUGAUUGUGAGUAAAUACCUAAAUUCCUCUUUCUUGUCCUUACAGGCAGCAAGUGGAAUCUAUAAUUUGCCAGAGAGCAGUCGACAGUUUUUAUUCUAUUUUUAAGGAACAGCUUAUUAAAAUUCUUUCAGAAGUCCAGAAAUUGAAAAACUUCAAAAGGAAGAAUGCUAAGGUGAUUAGAGAUAUAAAUAAGAAAAGGAAGUGUUUGUUUGAAGCCCAAGACCAACUAAUUAGGUAAGUAAUUCAAAGGAUUUUAGCACUGAAAGGUCUAGAGCAAGGGUGGGGAACCUGCAGCCUUGAGGUCAUAUGUGGCCUUCUAGGCCCUCAGUUGCAGCCCUUUGAC